CCUACGGGAGGCAGCAGUGGGGGAUAUUGCACAAUGGGCGCAAGCCUGAUGCAGCCAUGCCGCGUGUAUGAAGAAGGCCUUUGGGUUGUAAAGUACUUUCAGCGGGGAGGAAGGGAGUAAAGUUAAUACCUUUGCUCACUGACGUUACCCGCAGAAGAAGCACCGGCUAACUCCGUGCCAGCAGCCGCGGUAAU
rnacentral:rRNA from 1 species